rnacentral:rRNA from 1 species
ACAAAAGCUAGCCCAACUAACCCCAAACUUAAGUAUCACAGACAUAUAAAGUAAAACAUUUAGUUAAAUAAUAAAAGUAUAGGAGAUAGAAAUUUUAAUUGGAGCGAUAGAGAUAGUACCGUAAGGGAAUGAUGAAAGACAUCUUAACAGUAUUAAACAGCAAAGAUUACCCCUUUUACCUUUUGCAUAAUGAACUAGCCAGAAACGACUUAACAAAGAGAACUUAAGCUAAGCUCCCCGAAACCAGACGAGCUACCCAUAAACAAUCUAAAAGGAUCAACUCAUCUAUGUAGCAAAAUAGUGAGAAGAUUUGUGGGUAGAGGUGAAAAGCCUAA